AGGGAAUUAGUUUAAGAAAAACCUUUGAUUUCGGCUCAAAAGCUUAUGGUUAAAGUCCAUAAUUACCUA
rnacentral:tRNA from 2 species